CCUACGGGGUGCAGCAGUGAGGAAUAUUGGUCAAUGGACGCAAGUCUGAACCAGCCAUGCCGCGUGCAGGAAGACGGCUCUAUGAGUUGUAAACUGCUUUUGUACGAGGGUAAACGCAGAUACGUGUAGCUGGCUGAAAGUAUCGUACGAAUAAGGAUCGGCUAACUCCGUGCCAGCAGCCGCGGUAAUACGGAGGAUUCAAGCGUUAUCCGGAGUUAGUGGGGUUACAGGGUGCGUAGGCGGUCGGAUAAGUGAGAGGUGAAAUGCCGUCGCUCCACUUCGGAAUUGCCUCUUAUACUGUUCGUCUAUAGCGUAGUUGCGGUACGCGGCAUGUCUGGUGUAGCGG
rnacentral:rRNA from 1 species